rnacentral:rRNA from 1 species
AUCUACGGCCAUGCCACCCUAAUAUGCCCAAUCUCGUCUAAUCUUGGAAGCUAAGCAGGGUUGGGCCUGGUUAGUACUUGGAUGGGAGACCACCUAGGAGUACUAGCUGCUGUAGGCG